rnacentral:rRNA from 1 species
GACGUAGGGGGCCAGCGUUGCUCGGAAUUACUGGGUGUAAAGGGUUCGUAGGCGGUGUGGCAAGUCGGGAGUGAAAUCCCUGGGCUUAACCCAGGGGCUGCUUCUGAAACUGCCGUGCUAGAGUGUGGGAGAGGCGCGUGGAAUUGCAGGUGUAGCGGUGAAAUGCGUAGAUAUCUGCAGGAACACCCGUGGCGAAAGCGGCGCGCUGGACCACUACUGACGCUGAGGAACGAAAGCUAGGGGAGCAAACAG